UCCAGCAGCCGCGGUAAUACGUUCCCGGGCCUUGUACACACCGCCCGUCACACCACGAGAGUUUGUAACACCCGAAGUCGGUGGGGUAACCGCACUGGAGCCAGCCGCCUAAGGUGGGACAGAUGAUUGGGGUGAAGUCGUAACAAGGUAGCCGUAUCGGAAGGUGCGGCUGGAUCACCUCCUUUCUAAGGAUAAUAUGAAGUUUUAUUACUUCAUUAAAAUGACGUUUCUGACUUUGUUUAAUUUUGAGAGAG
rnacentral:misc_RNA from 1 species